rnacentral:lncRNA from 1 species
GGAGAUAUUGAAGCAGCGAAAUGGUUGAUUGGAACCGUGAGCAGAGGUGGAGUGCACUCACUAGAUUCAACACACAGUGGAAUAAUUGCAGUUUAGUGGAUUUGGUGAUUGACGUUGGUGGAAGAAUGAGCUAACGGUGGAUAUGGUAUCUAGUUCAGACAGCCUUCCAUCCCUGGAAGGAAGCUAGAGGAGAGAAAGGGGAAGCUCAAGGAUGGACUUUCGGUGCAGAGAAAAUGGCUGGAAAUUGCUUCAGCAUAACUUCUCUUAUUUUCUCUUCUUUUCUUCUCUCUUUUUCUUCCUCUUAUCUUCUCUCUCUCUUUCUUUCUUCUUCUUCUCCUCUUAUCUCUUGUUCUCUUGUUUCUAUUUCUCUUCUCUCAAGCUUUUCUUGUUCCCUCUUUAAUCUUUCUCUUUCUCUCUUUAGUCUCU